UAAUAUCUUCAGGGCAGGGUGCAAUUCCCUACCGGUGGUACAGCCCACGAGCCGCAAGGCAUGAUUCGGUGAAACUCCGAAGCCGACAGUACAGUCUGGAUGAAAGAAGAUGGAA
rnacentral:ncRNA from 21 species